rnacentral:rRNA from 1 species
GACGAACGCUGGCGGCGUGCCUAAUACAUGCAAGUAGAACGCACAGUUUAUACCGUAGCUUGCUACACCAUAGACUGUGAGUUGCGAACGGGUGAGUAACGCGUAGGUAACCUGCCUGGUAGCGGGGGAUAACUAUUGGAAACGAUAGCUAAUACCGCAUAAUAUUAAUUAUUGCAUGAUAAUUAAUUGAAAGGUGCAAUUGCACCACUACCAGAUGGACCUGCGUUGUAUUAGCUAUGAGGUGAGGUAACGGCUCACCUAGGCGACGAUACAUAGCCGACCGGAGAGGGAGAUCGGCCAAACUGGGACUGAGACACGGCCCAGACCCCUACGGGAGGCAGCAGUAGGGAAGCUUCGGAAAUGGACGAAAGGCUGACCGAGCAACGCCGCGUGAGUGAAGAAGGUUUUCGGAUCGUAAAGCUCUGUUGUAAGAGAAGAACGGGUGUGAGAGUGGAAAGGGCACACUGUGACGGUAUCUUAACAGAAAGGGACGGCUAACUACGUG